ACGCACGCUGGCGGCGUGCUUCACACCUGCCAGUCGCACGGAAAGGCCCUGCUUGCAGGGUACUCGAGUGGCGAACGGGUGAGUAACACGUGGGUGAUCUGCCCUGCACUUCGGGAUAAGCCUGGGAAACUGGGUCUAAUACCGGAUAGGAGCCAUUUUUAGUGUGAUGGUUGGAAAGUUUUUUCGGUGUAGGAUGAGCUCGCGGCCUAUCAGCUUGUUGGUGGGGUAAUGGCCUACCAAGGCGGCGACGGGUAGCCGGCCUGAGAGGGUGGACGGCCACAGUGGGACUGAGAUACGGCCCAGACUCCUACGGGAGGCAGCAGUGGGGAAUAUUGCACAAUGGGCGCAAGCCUGAUGCAGCGACGCCGCGGGGGGGAUGACGGCCUUCGGGUUGUAAACUCCUUUCGCUAGGGACGAAGCUUUUUGUGACGGUACCUAGAGAAGAAGCACCGGCUAACUACGUG
rnacentral:rRNA from 1 species